CGGGAACUUACCUAAAAGAAACAUUGAUGA
rnacentral:piRNA from 1 species